CCAGAUUAUUGACUGGUCGCGGCACCCUAAAGGUGUCGAGGAAAGUCCGGGCAGCUUAGGGAUAAGACAGUUGCUAACGGCAACCAAGGGUGACCUUAGGGAAAGUGCCACAGAAACCAAACCGCCCGCCUUCGGCGGGUAAGGGUGAAAAGAGCGAGGUAAGAGCCCGCAGUUAUGUAUGGUGACAUAUAUAAGUGGUAAACCCUGUCUGCUGCAAGGAGAUACGUCCUAUCAAGGUGUUCCCGCCAGGGCGAAUCAAUCUAACCGCUUGAGCCUGCUGGCAACGGUAGGCCUAGAUAGAUGACCAGACAAACAAAACCCGGCUUAUAGAUAAUCUGGCAAU
rnacentral:RNase_P_RNA from 2 species